rnacentral:rRNA from 1 species
AUGGUAGGAUAGAGGCCUACCAUGGUGGUAACGGGUAACGGGGUGUUAGGGCACGACACCGGAGAGGGAGCCUGAGAAACGGCUACCACAUCCAAGGAAGGCAGCAGGCGCGCAAAUUACCCAAUCCCGACACGGGGAGGUAGUGACAAUAAAUAACAAUACAGGGUUCUUUGAAUCUUGUAAUUGGAAUGAGUACAAUUUAAAUCUCUUAACGAGGAACAAUUGGAGGGCAAGUCUGGUGCCAGCAGCCGCGGUAAUUCCAGCUCCAAUAGCGUAUAUUAAAGUUGUUGCAGUUAAAAAGCUCGUAGUUGAAUUUCGGGAUCAAUACGUCGGUCGUGCUUUCGGGUACGUACUGGCGUCAUUGGUUUCUCCUUUCUGACGAACCAUGAUGUCAUUAAUUUGGUGUUAUGGGGAGUUAGGACUGUUACUUUGAAAAAAUUAGAGUGUUUAAAGCAGGCAUUAGCUUGAAUACAUUAGCAUGGAAUAAUGAAAUAGGACGUUCGAUCCUAUUUUGUUGGUUUCUAGGAUCAGCGUAAUGAUUAAUAGGGAUAGUUGGGGGCAUUAGUAUUCAAUUGUCAGAGGUGAAAUUCUUGGAUUUAUUGAAGACUAACUACUGCGAAAGCAUUUGCCAAGGAUGUUUUCAUUAAUCAAGAACGAAAGUUAGGGGAUCGAAGACGAUCAGAUACCGUCGUAGUCUUAACCAUAAACUAUGCCGACUAGGGAUCGGAUGAUGUUAAUUUUUUAAUGACUCAUUCGGCGCCUUACGGGAAACCAAAGUGUUUGGG